rnacentral:rRNA from 1 species
GAUGAAUGCUGGCGGCGUGCUUAACACAUGCAAGUCGAACGAUGAAGCUGGAGCUUGCUCCGGUGGAUUAGUGGCGAACGGGUGAGUAACACGUGAGCAAUCUGCCCUUGACUCUGGGAUAACUGCGGGAAACUGUAGCUAAUACCGGAUACGAGACCUGAAGGCAUCUUCGGGUCUGGAAAGAAUUUCGGUCAAGGAUGAGCUCGCGGCCUAUCAGCUUGUCGGUGAGGUAAUGGCUCACCAAGGCGACGACGGGUAGCCGGCCUGAGAGGGGAACCGGCCACACUGGGACUGAGACACGGCCCAGACUCCUACGGGAGGCAGCAGUGGGGAAUAUUGCACAAUGGGCGAAAGCCUGAUGCAGCAACGCCGCGUGAGGGAUGAAGGCCUUCGGGUUGUAAACCUCUUUUAGCAGGGAAGAAGCGAAAGUGACGGUACCUGCAGAAAAAGCACCGGCUAACUACGUGCCAGCAGCCGCCGUAA